rnacentral:rRNA from 1 species
GGCGUAGGCGGCUUUUCAAGUUAGAUGUGAAAUCUCCCGGCUUAACUUGGAGGGUGCAUUUAAUACUGAUGGGCUAGAGUGCAGCAGAGGAAAGUGGAACUCCCGGUGUAGUGGUGGAAUGCGUAGAUAUCGGGAAGAACACUAGUGGCGAAGGCGACUUUCUGGGCUGUUACUGACGCUGAGGCCCGAAGGCGUGGGGAGCGAACAGGAUUAGAUACCCUGGUAGUCC